rnacentral:rRNA from 1 species
UUAAGCCCCAGUAAACGGCGGUGGUAACUAUAACCAUCCUAAGGUAGCGAAAUUCCUUGUCGGGUAAGUUCCGACCUGCACGAAUGGCGUAACGACUUCCCAACUGUCUCAACCGCGAACUCGGCGAAAUUGCAUUACGAGUAAAGAUGCUCGUUACGCGCAGCAGGACGGAAAGACCCCGUGACCUUUACUACAGCUUGGUAUUGGUGUUCGGUGUGGCUUGUGUAGGAUAGGUGGGAGACGGUGAAGCAUUCACGCCAGUGAGUGUGGAGUCAUUGUUGAAAUACCACUCUGGUCACUCUGGAUAUCUAACUUAGGACCGUGAUCCGGUUCAGGGACAGUGCCUGGUGGGUAGUUUAACUGGGGCGGUUGCCUCCCAAAAUGUAACGGAGGCGCCCAAAGGUUCCCUCAACCUGGUUGGCAAUCAGGUGGCGAGUGUAAGUGCACAAGGGAGCUUGACUGUGAGACUGACAGGUCGAGCAGGGACGAAAGUCGGGACUAGUGAUCCGGCAGUGGCUUGUGGAAGCGCUGUCGCUCAACGGAUAAAAGGUACCUCGGGGAUAACAGGCUGAUCUUGCCCAAGAGUCCAUAUCGACGGCAUGGUUUGGCACCUCGAUGUCGGCUCGUCGCAUCCUGGGGCUGGAGUAGGUCCCAAGGGUUGGGCUGUUCGCCCAUUAAAGCGGUACGCGAGCUGGGUUUAGAACGUCGUGAGACAGUUCGGUCCCUAUCCGCUGCGCGCGUAGGAAGUUUGAGAGGAUCUGACCCUAGUACGAGAGGACCGGGUUGGACGAACCUCUGGUGUGUCAGUUGUUCCGCCAGGAGCACCGCUGAUUAGCUACGUUCGGGAUGGAUAACCGCUGAAAGCAUCUAAGCGGGAAGCCGGCCUCAAGAUGAGACUUCCAUACCCUUCGGGGUGAGAGGCUCCCAGCCAGACUACUGGGUUGAUAGGCCGGAUGUGGAAGCGUAGUAAUACGUGAAGCUGACCGGUACUAAUAAGCCGAUGACUUGAUAACACACC